rnacentral:rRNA from 1 species
CCUACGGGUGGCUGCAGUGGGGAAUAUUGGGCAAUGGGCGCAAGCCUGACCCAGCAACGCCGCGUGAAGGACGAAGGCUUUCGGGUUGUAAACUUUGUUUAAGAGGGAAGAGCAGUAGACGGUACCUCUUGAAUAAGCCACGGCUAACUACGGGCCAGCAGCCGCGGUAAUACGGAGGUGGCAAGUGUUACCCGGAUUUACUGGGUGGAAAGGGCGUGUAGGCGGGGACGCAAGGCAGAUGUGAAAACCACGGGCUCAACCUGUGGCCUGCAUUUGAAACUGUGUGUCUUGAGUACAGGAGAGGCAGACGGAAUUCCUGGUGUAGCGGUGAAAUGCGUAGAUAUUAGGAGGAACACCAGUGGCGAAGGCGACUUUCUGGACAGUAACUGACGUUGAGGCACGAAAGUGUGGGGAGCAAACAGGAUUAGAUACCCUUGUAGUC